AUGCGGUUCACGGCGUCUCCGGUGGUGGAGCUGCCGGUGGGCGGCGCGGUGCUGAGCUUCGAGCAGGACAACGACUCCUUCGAGGUGGGCACCUCGGUCUGGAACUCCUCCCUGGUCCUCGUCAAGUUCGCCGAGCGCUGCCUCGGCGACGCGGCUCUGCCCUUCGCCGACGCGCUCCGCUUCGCGGGUGCCCGCGCCAUCGAGCUCGGCGCCGGAUGCGGGCCCGCCGGCAUGGGGCUCUCCCGCCUCGGCCUCGCCGACCUCGUGCUCACCGACACCGCCGCCGUCCUCCCGGCGCUCCGCCGGAACCUCCGCCGCAACCGCCGCCACCUCCCGCGCGCGCCCCGCCUCGCGCAGCUCCACUGGAACUGCCCCGCGCACCUCUCCCAGCUCGCCGCCCCGCGCCGCUACGACCUCGUCGUCGCCGCCGACGUCGUCUACGUCCAGGAGUCCGUGCCCCACCUCGUCGCCGCCAUGGACGCGCUCGCCGACGCCGAGCGCGGCGUGGUGCUCCUCGGGUACCAGAUCCGGUCCCCCGAGGCGCACCAGGCGUUCUGGGACGCCGUUCCCGCCGCCUUCCCCGUGAUCGAGAAGGUGUCCCGGGAGCACCUCGACCCGGAGUACGCCUUCGAGGAGUCCGAUGUGUUCAUACUCCGCAGGAGGCCGCGGCAGUGA
rnacentral:rRNA from 1 species